GUGAGUCAUCGAAUCUUUGAACGCACCUUGCACCCUUUGGUAUUCCGAAGGGUACACCCGUUUGAGUGUCAUUGUACUCUCAAUCCCACGAUUUUUGUUGUGUGGAUUGGACUUGGAUCUCGUUGCAGUCUGCGACCGAUCCGAAAUGUAUCAGCGUGUGUCCGUCGUGACGAUGAACCGAUUGUUAAGUUUCAUCGGGCUCGUUGAAUCGAGGUCGUCUGACGAAAGCACAUGCCAAACCCCCAUCACUUUGACAAUUUGACCUCAAAUCGGGUGGGAUCACCCGCUGAACUUAAGCAU
rnacentral:misc_RNA from 1 species